GAGCCAUGGCAAUUAAGAUGGUAUCAAACAGGAUUAAUUCUACAGUGUAGAUGUAUCCAGAGUGGAUAUUAAGAGAACCAGCUGGGCAAUGAGAACAAGGAAAAUGACCUGAUGUAAUACCCAAAGUCUGCAUAUAUAAUAAGAUGAAGUAGUAGGCUAUUGAUAUAUAUAGGAUUGCAUCUAUAUUUAGACAUAAUUGUAAAUAAGUCCUACUUAUACUUGUAGGUAAAGGUAAAGCUUUCCUCUUGACAUCAAGUCUAGUCGAGUCUGUGGGAUGGUUCUCAUCUCCAGUUCUAAGCCAAAAAGCCAACGUUGUGCGUAGACACCUCCAAGGUCAUGUGGCCGGCAUGACUGCAUGGAACACUGUUACUUUCCCACCUAAGCAGUACCUAUUUAUCUACUCACAUUUGCAUGUUUUUGAACUGCUAGGUUGGCAGAAGCUGGGGCAAACAGCGGGAGCUCACAACAUCCUGCAGAUUCGAACUGCCAAUCUUCCAGUCAGAAAGCUCUGCAGCUUAGUGGUUCAACCCGCUGCACCAUCGAGGUCCCUGUACAUACUACAAAAGACUUCAACCUGUGUACAGCCUGGUGUGUUCAGCAAGGUGAAACUAACCUGAGGUGUGACACUCCCCUUCUUCUUCAGCUGCUGGAGCUAAACUGCUGGCUCCACCCCCAGAAAGGUCAGAUGUCCUAGCUGAAGCUCCACUCCUUGAACACAUUGUGAUAGCUAUGUCUGAUGAUGCCAGAUCUUGGAUAUUUACUGUAAAAUUUUGAAAUAUUUUUUAAAAAUAAAGUCAUAAUAGUGAGUAAUGGA